AUGCGCUCAGAGUGGCGAAUCCCAACGCGGAUGUACUCCUCUACCACAAUUGGCAUGGUCCUGUCGCGAAGCUGUGGGAUUGCAGGCGCCACCACCAUCGCGAGGUCGUCGUCCGCCACCACCUUAGCAAGGUCGUUGUCCGCCACCACCAUAGCAAGGUCGUCGUCCGCCAUCACCAUAGCAAGGUCGUCAUCCGCCACCACCAUAGCAGGGUCAACGUCAGCCACCAUCAUAGCAUGGUCGUCGUCAGCCAGAAUAGGCUGCUCCUCGUCAUCCCCGCUCUGCUCCUCGUCAUCCCCGCUGCUGCUCCCAUUGCCUGGCCAAAUGCAACAAAUUGUGAACAUGGUGUUGUCAUCGUGCAGGUAG
rnacentral:rRNA from 1 species